UGGGGAAUAUUGCACAAUGGAGGGAACUCUGAUGCAGCGACGCCGCGUGAGUGAUGAAGGAAUUCGUUUCGUAAAACUCUGUUCUAUGGGAAGAAAAGGACUGUACCAUAGGAGAAAGCUCCGGCUAAAUACGUGCCAGCAGCCGCGGUAAUACGUAUGGAGCGAGCGUUGUCCGGAAUUAUUGGGCGUAAAAGGUGCGCAGGCGGCUUUACAAGUUGGAUGUGAAAUAUUGUGGCUCAACCACAAACGUGCAUCCAAAACUGCAAAGCUUGAGUUAAGGAGAGGUAAGUGGAAUUCCUGGUGUAGCGGUGGAAUGCGUAGAUAUCAGGAGGAAUACCGGUGGCGAAAGCGACUUACUGGACUUAAACUGACGCUCAGGCACGAAAGCGUGGGGAGCAAACAGG
rnacentral:rRNA from 1 species